AAUCUGUGUUGCGGACACUUUACCAUGAGCUCCUUAAACCUUUCCCAUGUCUCGAAUAGAGACUCCAAUUCCAACUGAACAAAGGACGAGAUCUCAUUCCUAAGCUU